rnacentral:rRNA from 1 species
GACAGAGGUGCCGAGCGUUAGGCGGAAUCACUGGGCUUAAAGCGUGUGUAGGCGGACCGUUAAGUACCUUGUGAAAUCCCCCGGCUCAACCGGGGAACGGCUGGGUAUACUGGCGGUCUUGAGCCAUCCAGGGGCAGUCGGAACAGACGGUGGAGCGGUGAAAUGCGUAGAUAUCGUCUGGAACGCCGAAGGUGAAAACAGACUGCUGGGGAUGCGCUGACGCUGAGACACGAAAGCCAGGGGAGCAAAGCGGG